CCGAACCGACUAAUGUUGAAAAAUUAGCGGAUGACCUGUGGCUGGGGGUGAAAGGCCAAUCAAACCGGGAGAUAGCUGGUUCUCCCCGAAAGCUAUUUAGGUAGCGCCUCGUGAAUUCAUCUCCGGGGGUAGAGCACUGUUUCGGCUAGGGGGCCAUCCCGGCUUACCAACCCGAUGCAAACUGCGAAUACCGGAGAAUGUUAUCACGGGAGACACACGGCGGGUGCUAACGUCCGUCGUGAAGAGGGAAACAACCCAGACCGCCAGCUAAGGUCCCAAAGUCAUGGUUAAGUGGGAAACGAUGUGGGAAGGCCCAGACAGCCAGGAUGUUGGCUUAGAAGCAGCCAUCAUUUAAAGAAAGCGUAAUAGCUCACUGGUCGAGUCGGCCUGCGCGGAAGAUGUAACGGGGCUAAACCAUGCACCGAAGCUGCGGCAGCGACACUGUGUGUUGUUGGGUAGGGGAGCGUUCUGUAAGCCUGUGAAGGUGUGUCGUGAGGCAUGCUGGAGGUAUCAGAAGUGCGAAUGCUGACAUAAGUAACGAUAAAGCGGGUGAAAAGCCCGCUCGCCGGAAGACCAAGGGUUCCUGUCCAACGUUAAUCGGGGCAGGGUGAGUCGACCCCUAAGGCGAGGCCGAAAGGCGUAGUCGAUGGGAAACGGGUUAAUAUUCCCGUACUUGGUGUUACUGCGAAGGGGGGACGGAGAAGGCUAUGUUGGCCGGGCGACGGUUGUCCCGGUUUAAGCGUGUAGGCUGGUUUUCCAGGCAAAUCCGGAAAAUCAAGGCUGAGGCGUGAUGACGAGGCACUACGGUGCUGAAGCAACAAAUGCCCUGCUUCCAGGAAAAGCCUCUAAGCAUCAGGUAACAUCAAAUCGUACCCCAAACCGACACAGGUGGUCAGGUAGAGAAUACCAAGGCGCUUGAGAGAACUCGGGUGAAGGAACUAGGCAAAAUGGUGCCGUAACUUCGGGAGAAGGCACGCUGACACGUAGGUGAAGUGAUUUACUCAUGGAGCUGAAGUCAGUCGAAGAUACCAGCUGGCUGCAACUGUUUAUUAAAAACACAGCACUGUGCAAACACGAAAGUGGACGUAUACGGUGUGACGCCUGCCCGGUGCCGGAAGGUUAAUUGAUGGGGUCAGCGCAAGCGAAGCUCCUGAUCGAAGCCCCGGUAAACGGCGGCCGUAACUAUAACGGUCCUAAGGUAGCGAAAUUCCUUGUCGGGUAAGUUCCGACCUGCACGAAUGGCGUAAUGAUGGCCAGGCUGUCUCCACCCGAGACUCAGUGAAAUUGAACUCGCUGUGAAGAUGCAGUGUACCCGCGGCAAGACGGAAAGACCCCGUGAACCUUUACUAUAGCUUGACACUGAACAUUGAGCCUUGAUGUGUAGGAUAGGUGGGAGGCUUUGAAGUGUGGACGCCAGUCUGCAUGGAGCCGACCUUGAAAUACCACCCUUUAAUGUUUGAUGUUCUAACGUGGACCCGUUACCCGGGUUGCGGACAGUGUCUGGUGGGUAGUUUGACUGGGGCGGUCUCCUCCUAAAGAGUAACGGAGGAGCACGAAGGUUGGCUAAUCCUGGUCGGACAUCAGGAGGUUAGUGCAAUGGCAUAAGCCAGCUUGACUGCGAGCGUGACGGCGCGAGCAGGUGCGAAAGCAGGUCAUAGUGAUCCGGUGGUUCUGAAUGGAAGGGCCAUCGCUCAACGGAUAAAAGGUACUCCGGGGAUAACAGGCUGAUACCGCCCAAGAGUUCAUAUCGACGGCGGUGUUUGGCACCUCGAUGUCGGCUCAUCACAUCCUGGGGCUGAAGUAGGUCCCAAGGGUAUGGCUGUUCGCCAUUUAAAGUGGUACGCGAGCUGGGUUUAGAACGUCGUGAGACAGUUCGGUCCCUAUCUGCCGUGGGCGCUGGAGAACUGAGGGGGGCUGCUCCUAGUACGAGAGGACCGGAGUGGACGCAUCACUGGUGUUCGGGUUGUCAUGCCAAUGGCACUGCCCGGUAGCUAAAUGCGGAAGAGAUAAGUGCUGAAAGCAUCUAAGCACGAAACUUGCCCCGA
rnacentral:rRNA from 3 species